CAGUCGAACGAUGAUGCCCAGCUUGCUGGGUGGAUUAGUGGCGAACGGGUGAGUAACACGUGAGUAACCUGCCCCUGACUCUGGGAUAAGCGUUGGAAACGACGUCUAAUACUGGAUAUGACUGCCGGCCGCAUGGUCUGGUGGUGGAAAGAUUUUUUGGUUGGGGAUGGACUCGCGGCCUAUCAGCUUGUUGGUGAGGUAAUGGCUCACCAAGGCGACGACGGGUAGCCGGCCUGAGAGGGUGACCGGCCACACUGGGACUGAGACACGGCCCAGACUCCUACGGGAGGCAGCAGUGGGGAAUAUUGCACAAUGGGCGAAAGCCUGAUGCAGCAACGCCGCGUGAGGGAUGACGGCCUUCGGGUUGUAAACCUCUUUUAGUAGGGAAGAAGCGAAAGUGACGGUACCUGCAGAAAAAGCACCGGCUAACUACGUGCCAGCAGCCGCGGUAAUACGUAGGGUGCAAGCGUUGUCCGGAAUUAUUGGGCGUAAAGAGCUCGUAGGCGGUUUGUCGCGUCUGCUGUGAAAUCCCGAGGCUCAACCUCGGGCUUGCAGUGGGUACGGGCAGACUAGAGUGCGGUAGGGGAGAUUGGAAUUCCUGGUGUAGCGGUGGAAUGCGCAGAUAUCAGGAGGAACACCGAUGGCGAAGGCAGAUCUCUGGGCCGUAACUGACGCUGAGGAGCGAAAGCGUGGGGAGCGAACAGGAUUAGAUACCCUGGUAGUCCACGCCGUAAACGUUGGGCGCUAGAUGUAGGGACCUUUCCACGGUUUCUGUGUCGUAGCUAACGCAUUAAGCGCCCCGCCUGGGGAGUACGGCCGCAAGGCUAAAACUCAAAGGAAUUGACGGGGGCCCGCACAAGCGGCGGAGCAUGCGGAUUAAUUCGAUGCAACGCGAAGAACCUUACCAAGGCUUGACAUACACCGGAAACGGCCAGAGAUGGUCGCCCCCUUGUGGUCGGUGUACAGGUGGUGCAUGGUUGUCGUCAGCUCGUGUCGUGAGAUGUUGGGUUAAGUCCCGCAACGAGCGCAACCCUCGUUCUAUGUUGCCAGCGCGUUAUGGCGGGGACUCAUAGGAGACUGCCGGGGUCAACUCGGAGGAAGGUGGGGAUGACGUCAAAUCAUCAUGCCCCUUAUGUCUUGGGCUUCACGCAUGCUACAAUGGCCGGUACAAAGGGCUGCGAUACCGUAAGGUGGAGCGAAUCCCAAAAAGCCGGUCUCAGUUCGGAUUGAGGUCUGCAACUCGACCUCAUGAAGUCGGAGUCGCUAGUAAUCGCAGAUCAGCAACGCUGCGGUGAAUACGUUCCCGGGCCUUGUACACACCGCCCGUCAAGUCAUGAAAGUCGGUAACACCCGAAGCCGGUGGCCUAACCC
rnacentral:rRNA from 2 species